GUGAGGGGGUGACUAGUGGCGGAGUGAGGGAAGGAAGGGGUGACUAGUGACAGAGUGAGGGAGGUGGUGACUGUCACUAGUCACCACCUCCCUCACUCUGUCACUAGUCACCACCUCCCUCUGUCACUACUCCCUCCCUCCUUCUGUCACUAGUCACCCCCUCUGUCCCUUACUCUGUCACUAGUCACCCCCUCCCUCAC